rnacentral:misc_RNA from 1 species
UGAAGAAAUUGAAUCAGAGGUGAGCUGCUUUACAUGGAACAUUUUUUUUUUCUCUAGAUUUCAAUUUUAAGAUAAUGGUCAUCCCAAAAUGACUUGUCUGCUGCAUUUUAUCUUACUUUUGUUUUUAGAAAAAUUUGUAGAUUGUGGCUUGGUUUGGUUAGCUUUUUUAAAGUUGCUUUUUUACCCCCUCUGUUAUUUUAAAAGCAAAAGAAGUUAGUUUUUUUUUUUUUUCCUCUUUCUUACAUGAAGUGAAAUUCAUAUAUUAAAAAGUAUACUUUCUUAUUAUUAUAUUGCUUUAGGACAAAAUAAAAAGUUUGUAAGAAAAUAAAAAGUGAUGAAUCAGUACACAACAAAUCAAAUGCCAUACUUUGUGGUGCAUGUUAACCACACAGAUAGUUGAACAUGAUGAAUGCCUUUUAUGAUUAGGAGAUACAUUUCUGUCCUUUUGAGCUCUGCUCACAAUGCUAUGAAUUUUUACUUAAUGACAUCUUCGCUGAAAUCAAUAAAUAAAAGAUUAAAGAACAAAAGUAACCCUGAUAUGCCCAGCAUAACAUUGCAAGCUGAGCAUCUCUUCAAAAUUCACAGGAUUCCUUAUUAACACAUUGCCAGAACCUCCUUAAAAUUUUAUGUCAUCUACUUUCUCUUCCCUCUUCCUCUUCUUUUUUACAGGUGAAGA